rnacentral:rRNA from 1 species
AUGGCAGGGAGACAGCGCAUAGGUCGCCAGUACUAUGAGGAACCAUGGGGAUUUCGUGAUGGCCCCCCUCCUCGACUUGCCCGGGAAAGGUCUAUCUCACCACGACGCAUCGAAGGAGAGCUGUCUAGCCGCCGUGGUGAGAUACGCAGAAUCCAUGAUGACAACCAACGUCUGGCGGAUGAAAUUGUUGGACUCAGGCAAGCAAUGUCCCGUUUGAAAGAAGAUCUCCAUUCCUCAAGUCAGGUUAUACCUAAGCUCCGUGCAGAGAAAGAACUUGAAUCGAGGGAGCUGACUCAGAGGAACCUGAAGCUGGAAGCUGAGCUGCGCUCCUUAGAACCCCUUAGGCAAGAUGCCUUGCAUCUACGAUCUGAAGUAGGUACGCUAGAGUCUUUGAGGCAAGAGCUGAACGCAAAGGUGCAGGGUCUGACAAAGGAGCUUGAGCAACAGAGCUCUGAAAACCAGCGCAUACCUGCCAUGAUUGCUGAACGUGAUGAUCUGCGGCAGGAACUAAUUCGUGCUAGGGCGGCUCUUGAUUAUGAGAAGAAUGCAAAGCCAGAGCUGAUGGCACAGGUGCAGGCAGUGGAGAAGGAUCUUGUGACUAUGGCUCAGGAGUCUGAGAAGCUUAGGGCUGAAAUUGAGAAGAGAAGGGCACCACCACCUAGGGUCAGCGGCUAUGGAGCUUACGGACCACCUCCUGGGAUGGGCGUGCAAGGCAUGUACGACGGCGGCUACAAUACCUACACAGACAGGCGCUACGGUACGGGUGGUGGACCAUGGGACCCCCCUAGCUACCCGCGCCCUUGA